UUAAAAAAAAAAAACAGAAACCUAUGAAAGAGUGCUUAUUCUCGUUUUUCAGAUGAAAAUUUAGACGAGUGAUUUGCCGACAGUUUGACACCCACAGAAACCCUUUCCUUUUAGUCUGAGCAAAAUUAUAAGAAUAUAAGUAGUGGCAACUCGGUUUUUUUCCCCUCAUAUUCUGUUUGGUUCUGAAAUUGAAUGAUUUUUCGAUUCACAGAUCGCCAAGACGUGAGCCACUGAACACUGUCCUCCACCAAAUUCUUAACUUCCCGGGUAGAAAGAGGGGACAGCUCCUUCUCAGCCUCAUUCGAAAAGCCAGUAACUACAAGCUCCAUCAUCUAUCCUUGCUACUAUCCUGCUUUUUAAAAAAACACCUGAUAUUUCAACACAGGCUUCCCUGGUGGCUCAGUGUUAAAGAAUCUGCCUGCCACUGCAGGUGACAGGGGUUUGAUCCCUGGGUCGGG
rnacentral:lncRNA from 1 species